GAUGAACGCUCGCUACAGGCUUAACACAUGCAAGUCGAGGGGAAACGCCAUCGAAAGCUUGCUUUUGAUGGGCGUCGACCGGCGCACGGGUGAGUAACGCGUAUCCAACCUGCCCAUCACUUGGGAAUAACCUUGCGAAAGUAAGACUAAUACCCAAUGAUAUCCCACGAAGGCAUCGGAAUGGGAUUAAAGAUUUAUCGGUGAUGGAUGGGGAUGCGUCUGAUUAGCUUGUUGGCGGGGUAACGGCCCACCAAGGCAACGAUCAGUAGGGGUUCUGAGAGGAAGGUCCCCCACAUUGGAACUGAGACACGGUCCAAACUCCUACGGGAGGCAGCAGUGAGGAAUAUUGGUCAAUGGGCGAGAGCCUGAACCAGCCAAGUAGCGUGCAGGAAGACGGCCCUAUGGGUUGUAAACUGCUUUUAUAAGGGAAUAAAGUGGGUCACGUGUGACUUUUUGCAUGUACCUUAUGAAUAAGGACCGGCUAAUUCCGUG
rnacentral:rRNA from 1 species